rnacentral:rRNA from 1 species
AUUGAACGCUGGCGGCAUGCCUAACACAUGCAAGUCGAACGAAAGCACGGGUGUUUGCACCUGGUGGCGAGUGGCGAAGGGGGGAGUAAUACAUUGGUACAUGUUCUCUAGGGGGGGAUAGUGCGGCGAAAGCCGGUGUACUACCGCAGACGAUUUUCGGGUGAAAGCGGGGGCCCUCGUGGCAUCGGGUUAUUGGGUUGGUAUAUGGCUGAUUAGCUAGUUGGUGGGGUAUAGGCCUACCAAGGGGACGACCAGUAGCGGGUCUGAGAGGACGACCAGCCACCUGGGGACUGAGACACGGCCCAGACUCCUACGGGAGGCAGCAGUGGGGAAUCUUGGGCGAUGGGCGAAAGCCUGAUCCAGCAAUGCCGCGUGUGGGAAGAAGGCCUUCGGGUUGUAAAACACUGUUGUCCGGAAAGAAAUCCUUGGCCCUAAUACGGGCGGGGGAUGACGGUACCGGAAGAAUAAGCACCGGCUAACUACGUG